GAGUUUGAUCCUGGCUCAGGAUGAACGCUAGCGGCAGGCUUAAUACAUGCAAGUCGAGGGGCAGCACGGUUAGCAAUAACUGGUGGCGACCGGCGCACGGGUGCGUAACACGUAUACAAUCUACCUUAAACAGGGGGAUAGCCUUUCGAAAGAGAGAUUAAUACCCCGUAAUAAAUUGAACGGCAUCGUUUGAUUUUGAAAGCUCCGGCGGUUUGAGAUGAGUAUGCGUCUGAUUAGCUAGUUGGUGAGGUAACGGCUCACCAAGGCGACGAUCAGUAGGGGAUCUGAGAGGACUAACCCCCACACUGGUACUGAGACACGGACCAGACUCCUACGGGAGGCAGCAGUAAGGAAUAUUGGUCAAUGGAGGCAACUCUGAACCAGCCAUGCCGCGUGCAGGAUGACGGCCCUAUGGGUUGUAAACUGCUUUUAUACAAGAGAAAACCCUGGUACGUGUACCAGGUUGAUAGUAUUGUAAGAAUAAGCAUCGGCUAACUUCGUG
rnacentral:rRNA from 1 species